rnacentral:rRNA from 1 species
UACAGGGGGUGCAAACGUUGCUCGGAAUCAUUGGGCGUAAAGCGCACGUAGGCGGUUUGUUAUGUCGGAUGUGAAAGCCCUUGGCUCAACUGAGGAAGUGCAUCCGAAACUGGCAAGCUAGAGUACUAAAGAGGGUCGCGGAAUUCCCGGUGUAGCGGUGAAAUGCGCAGAUAUCGGGAGGAACACCCGUAGCGAAGGCGGCGCUCUGGGCCGGUACUGACGCUGAGGAGCGAAAGCGUGGGGAGCAAACAGG